GUCCCUAGAGACAGCCUGGAAAGAUUGGGUGCCAGCUGCAGAGAGGAGAGCAAGGCGACCAAACGCAGGGUAAGGUCUGGAGGUGCUCAUAGUUCACUACGGGACAUGUACAUGGAAGUGAAUAAUUAUGUCACAAGGUGCCAAGGGGGCUAGUUACCUCACAUAGGAUCUUAGAAAAGGUCUCCUGGAGACCAUGUCUGAGCUGGUCCUGAGGUGUGAGUAGGGAUUCUCCGCAGGGCGGGGAAGGACUUGAAAGAGUCUGGCAAUAUGGAGCACAUCAGGAUUAUGGAAGGUGAGCUUGGAGAACAAGGCAGAGUCUAGCCUGUGAAAGGCCUCUUGCAAUUUGUUGAGGAUCCAUGACCUUCUCCCAUGCAUGGUGAAAUGCCCUUAAAGGAUUUUGAAUAGAUUUAAAAGACACUCAAAAACAAAAAACGGUAGAUUCAAAAUAGACGGUAGGGAUCGCUUUCUUCCGUUUUCUUUGAAGGAUCAGAAGUGUUUACCACCACCUGGAUUGUUUUUGGGCUUUCAGCUGUGGCUGCCUGCAGCCCAUCCUGCCCCCAGCACCUAGAGUCAUCUUUAGAAAUGCAAGCCUGAUCGUGGAAUCCACCUUCCUAACACCCUUCAGUGCCCUCCUCUUCGUUACACCCUUACUAUACAAACGAUAGUCCAUGGACCAGCAGCAUCAACAUAACCAGGGAGCUUGUUAGAAAUGUAGAAUCUGGUCCAUCCCAAACCUGACGAAGCAGAAGCUGCAUUUUGCCAAGAUCCCAGGGAAUUUGUGUGCCCGUUAUGGUUUGCGAAGUGCUUCCCAAGAGAACAUACGGCAAGCCAGAGGGAUCUUUGCAGAUCUUGCUCCUUUCAUUCUCUGGCCUCAUCUUGUCGCUCUCCUCCAUCCGUGCCCACAUCCCCACUGUACUGGACCGCUUGCAGCUCCUUGAAUGCAGCAUAGUCUUGUUUUCUUUUUUGCAGUGAUUCUACAUCUUUCCCAUCUUCUCCACCUGGAUGCCUCCAUCCAUCCUUUCAGACUUCCCUUCUCUAGCAAACCUUUCUUGCUAAUUCCCAUGUCUAACACAACACUUCCCCAUACUGCAUGGCCAUUAUCCUUUCUGCAUCAGACUGUGAGCACCUUGAAGGCAGUGGCAGUGACUCAUUCAUUGUGGCAUCUGCAGAUUCCAGUGGACUGCCAGGCAUGCAAUAGAAAAUCAAAAAAGAUUUACUGCUAAAUAAUCCUCAACUCCAGUGGCAGCUCCAUGUGCCAUUUCUCUUCCGCUCUGGCCUCGGCUCUUCCUGUGCCUACCUGGGGCUUGGCUUUCACCUAGGUGUCUGCAUGGAAGGGAGAGCGACCUGGAGGACCAUCGCCAAUCCAUCAAUAGCCUCCCGGUUGAGAUGACUUCAGCUCUGAUUUGGAAGAGCUAUGAUAUUGUUUAUAGGAGUGAAUUAAUAUGUGUAAAGGUUACAAAGUAAACAGUUAAAUUAAAUUAAUUGUGCUGGAGCAGGUCAAACAGGCUUCUGAGAGAUGAACAUACACAUCUCUAUUAACUCCACAUUCAGUGAGUGUGGGUAACUUGAAAUUGGCUGGGUCACCAUUUACAUCAUAGAAAUUGGCAAAUAGUACAAAUUAGGGCUCCCUCACCCCUACUCGGGCAUAGAGCUGGUACACUAGCACACCUCUGGUUAUACAUGCAUGCGUGUGCCACCAGAACAAAACACCUAACAGCAGGCACGUUGCCUCUGUUGCCCACCAUUACAGCUCCCGCACGGAGCAGACAGACUCAUGGCAGGAAUUGAAUGCAUGUUUGUCGAGUGGAAGCAUGAACAAAUCCACAAAAUGCCCAAGAUGAGGCAAAGAAGGACAUUGGCUCAAAUGUUAAACAUAAGUUAGGAGCUGAGAUAAUGCCCAGAGGAAAAAUGUUCUGUAAUUCUAAGUAAAACCCAUCUCUAAGGCAGGAUGCUGCUUAUGAGGGCUCCACAGACAGAUGGGGGAGGCCUGGGUCCUGCCCUUGGAAAGAGUCUGACAGCUCGACUUCUGGAAACAGCCAUCUGCACAGGUCAACAUCUUCUUAGCUGACAGGGAGCAGAUUUGCAGACCACAUCACAUUUGAAAUUCCAGAAGAAACUUCUUGGAGUCUGCUCUUGUGCAAAUGAGCCUAGAAAGCCCGUUAACUUUGGGUGGAGGCUUCCACUGUUUGGCUAUCCCAAGUGGGCCCAAAGCUAAGGAAAACCCACCAGCCCUUUGCUUCCUGCUUCCUCUAUUUGUUUGCCCCAGGAAAUCAGAGGUGAUGACAUGAUUUGGCUUGGGCACGACAGGAAUAAACGAUAUUUAAGAGACGUCA
rnacentral:lncRNA from 1 species